GGUGGUAAUGCCGGAUGCUCCAGUUGAUCGCAUGGUCUUCUGGGAAAGCUUUCGCGGUAUGGGAUGGGGUCGCGUCCUAUCAGCUUGACGGCGGGGUAACGGCCCACCGUGGCUUCGACGGGUAGCCGGCCUGAGAGGGCGACCGGCCACAUUGGGACUGAGAUACGGCCCAGACUCCUACGGGAGGCAGCAGUGGGGAAUAUUGCACAAUGGGCGCAAGCCUGAUGCAGCGACGCCGCGUGAGGGAUGGAGGCCUUCGGGUUGUAAACCUCUUUUAUCGGGGAGCAAGCGAGAGUGAGUUUACCCGUUGAAUAAGCACCGGCUAACUACGUGCCAGCAGCCGCGGUAAUACGUAGGGUGCAAGCGUUAUCCGGAAUUAUUGGGCGUAAAGGGCUCGUAGGCGGUUCGUCGCGUCCGGUGUGAAAGUCCAUCGCUUAACGGUGGAUCCGCGCCGGGUACGGGCGGGCUUGAGUGCGGUAGGGGAGACUGGAAUUCCCGGUGUAACGGUGGAAUGUGUAGAU
rnacentral:rRNA from 1 species